CUUGACUCCGCAGGAGCCGCCCCCAGCUCGCGUCUGUCCUAAAGGCUCCGGCAGGGCCAGGUAGCCUGUGGGGUGACGUGCCCGGAGAGCCUUCCACGGCUCGUGCGUGAUCCUGGCGCAAGCCAGCUGCGAGUGUCCCCAGGGCUGCUGAAUCCACAGCGCCCGAGGCAGCGGACCAGCCCGGUGACCCCCGGCCGCGCGUGGGACCGGCAAACCCUGAAUGCAGGAACUUCACCCUCCUUCUUUCCGGCUACAGGGUACAGAGCGUCUGUGCGGUGGCGGGCUGCUCUGAGGUGACUCAGCAGAGCCCCGAGAGCCUGGCCCUGCCAUCUGUCCUGGACACCCUUCCCUUGCUUGGUUUUGGGAGGAGGUCAGGGGUUGGCAGGGACUCUCAAACCCAUAGCACUUCCCUUUUACAGAUCUUUUCUGCGCACUUAGUGGAGGGGGAGGGAGGAGUUGACUGAGGGCAUGGGCAGAAAGAGUCAUAGGUUCCUCCCCUACUCUUCCUCUCUUGAGAGCUCAGAUUAUUCUGGAUGCUUGUAGCGGGAGGUCGUGGGGUGGUGCGCCCUCCGGGGCGAGGGUUGUCAUGCAUGCUCUGCAGAGACUAGAGUGGCGUGGGCUACCGUUGACUGGACUUCACCUGUGCAAAGUGAGCAGUCGUGGCGGAGCCUUUGCCUCCUAGGCUCUUUGUCCUGAUUUAAUUGCCCCUUGAGCACUGCCCAUACUGGGCCCUUGGGUCUUCUUGUCCUGAUGUAAGGAACAUGUCUUUCUUUCAGUGGACCUAGGCCCAUGGAGAGCAGCACCUAGAAAUGGCUAUUUCUGUUAAACUUCUUUUUCUCCCAAGUGAGAAAUUUCUAAUUCUCAAAUUUCCCGCAUUGUAUGUGAGCAGGGGUUCUUAAUCUAGUUAACUCUCUUUCGUUCUGAAGUUUUUCCAGGUCUGUGGGCAGGCGUUGAAGUUCUGACCACCUAGCCGACUCCUAACAGUUAGAGCUCCACGUCUGGUCGAAGAACCAUCCUUGGAGGUUUUUCCGUUCUUACUGUGGCUUGAAGGUCUUUUUUUCUGGGGUAGUUUCAUCAGUUGGAAGUUAAAAUCAGUGUGAGCUCUACCUCCGAACAGGGACUGAAAGCGGAGGGAGAACUUGUGGGUUUUCAAAUGUGACGCCGCUGAGCUCUGUGGAGCUCAGGAGGAGGAGGACAGUCUGCCUUUCAGCCAGACAUCCCUCGCCUGCUGCCCCUCAUGGUCACUACUUUCUAUUCAAACAGGCCCACCUCCCUUCGGGGGUAGACUUGUAAUGACUCGGGUGUGGGUAUUGUGUUGGAUUGUAUUUAAACGUUGACACUAAUGGGGGCAGUGUAGUGCCACCGGUAGUGGGAGUGAUUGGUAGGAAUAAUCCAGCGCUUGAUCCCCCAAAUCUGCCUCACGUUGAAAGGGAAGAAACAGUCCGGACAAUAGGAAUAAUGUGGCUAUGUAGGUGUGUUUACAGGCCUCGGACAAGAGUUACUGUGAGGGCCUGAGACACCUUUCCCAGUGGAACAGGCUUGUAAAGAGCAGGAACAUGAGAUCCACAACCCUCAGGAGUCUUUUCUGAACACGGGCAUUGGCAUGACCAAGGCUGACCUCAUAAUAACUUGGGAACCAUUGCUAGGUCUGGCACGAAGUGUUGACAGAGACUGUCUAGGUGUGUGGCCUUUGACUGAUAUUAUGAAUGGUUAGUUUUUUUGUAAUCUGUUUGGCUGGUGUGUGUGGUGGCUUUUUAGGGUGAGCACACAUGAAAGUGAGAGAACAGCUGUGAAAACUAGGUUCUGGAACUGAAUGGUUGAUUGUUAUAAUUGCUCAGCAAGAACUUUUCCUUGUGCAGAACCAUUUUGCUUUCUCUCUGUUAACUUUCAAAACCCCACGGAAGGCUGCUGCAGGCUUUUACAUGAUUGGACAGCUCUGUGUUGGAUUCGGUUCUGUCUCUGGUGACAGAAAACAUGGUGUGGUCACAAGCAUGAUGCUAAUGAGCAGUAUGCCAUGGAGUUAUCUCCUGGUCAGUCCUUCACAGGCUGUGUAGACCAUGGUGAGUUAGCUCUCUACAGUGUGGUGCUUGGUAGAAUUCUCUGAGUGAAGUAAGUUAGAAGUCUUGAGGAUUAUAUUUUAGAGUGCUCUGUCUUUGUCCAGUUAGUUACAGUUUUGAUGAUUCAUGCCUGUAGAGGUGAGCCCACUGGCCAGGAUGCAAAAGUGAUCCUUCAUCUCAUAAAAGACCAGGCAGAAUGCACAAAGGAGAGGAGGGUCAAGGAAGCUGUGACGACACAGUUAAUAGACUCUUCCCAGCAUUCUCUGUGUGAAUAUAGGCUUGGCAGCCUUCGAGCAGGCUGUUGUGUUGGCUCAUGGCCUUUGGCUAUGCUGGUACUGAGUUCUCCACAACUCAUUAUGUCAUUUGGUGACUUAGGUGGAGAAGGAAGGAGAGAAGGAGAUCAGUAAAGAUGAUAAAGAGGAGAACAUAAGGAUGAUGAGGAGAAGCUUAAGACUGAAGAUGUGGGAACAGAUGAGGAGGACAGUGGCAAAGAUAAGACAAAGAAAACCAAGGAGCACCUCUUUGGGGAAGGCCACUUGGAAUUCAUGGCAUUGCUCUUCAUUUCCUGACAAGCUCUCUUUGACCUUGUUAAGAACAAGGAGAGCAGCACCAAACUGCAUGUCUGUCAUGAGUUCAACAUGGAGAGCUACAAGAAGCUGAUAACAGAGUGCCUCAAAAACAAAGGCUCUCCUCACCUACUGUCUGUAGUACAGGCAAACACUUACUUAACAGAUCUUCAGCACACAGCUGAGACUGUCUUUAAUCCAGAUAAUAACAUUCUUAUCUCCCCAAACCUGCGCUUGGCUGGGUUGCUUAAAUGUGGUCACCAGACCAGGUCUAAACCAACUGUCUUGGGCUUUCUGCUCUGGCUGACUGUUGUCUUUAUCUGUGGCAUGGCUGACUUCUAGGAUAUGUCGCUGAAAAUCUCCAGGGAAUUGUUCCAGCAGAGCAAGAUCCUGAAAGUCAUCAACAGAAGCAUUGUGAAGAAGAGUUGUCAGAAGACAACUCAUUAUGAAGAACAGUUGUCUUCUGAGUUGUCAGAAGACAAAGAGAAGUGAAAGAAAUUCUUGGAGGUGUUCACGAAUUUCAAGGUUGGAAUCCAUAAACACUUCACUAAGUGGCAGCACCUGUCUGCGUUCCUCUGCUAACCCACCUCUCUGUGAUAACAUCCCUGUCAGAGAACGUGUCUCAUGUGAAGGAAACACAGAAGUCCAUCUACUAUAGGUCUGGUGUGUUCCAACUUGGCUCUGAUCAAAGCUGCCUUGCAGCAUGUGAAAUGAAGGAAGGACCGACACAUCAAGACCUGCUUUCAGUCACUGAGUCAUAGUUUAUAAUGAAUCCUUUAGGUGAGAGCCAACUUUACCUUUGUGGGGCGUGAGCGGAAGCCAGGCUCUGAAAUGGUGUGUGUGACUGAGUCUGCAUGCAGCAACUCACAGGGCUUCAUGGAAAGAGCCUGGCCAUGGCGACUAAGGAGGGUCUGGAAAGACCAGAGAAUGAGUAAGAGAAGAAAAUGGAUGAGAGAGCAAGGCAAAGUUUCAGAGUCUCUGCGAUCUCAUGAAGGAGCUCUUGGAGAAAAAGGUUGAGAUGGGGACAGUCUCCAUUAGGCUUGUGUCUUCUCCCUGCUGCAUUGGGACAAGCAGCUAUAGCUAGACAGCCAACGUGAAACAGAUGAUGAAGACCCAGUUACUUCCAGACAACUCUACAGUGGGACGCAUCAUGGUCACCAACACCCAGAGGCCAGUCAUGCUCACCCCAUUGUGGAGGCUUUGGCAGCAAAAUAAAGAAGAUGCAGUUUUAUACAGUCCGGCUCUCCUUGUAAAGUAACACUCAGGGCACUGUGAACUUCUCCUGGGUUGUGUUGGGAGAUGAUGACAAGGCUCUUGUCCUCUCUCUUGAACUCAGGGUGCCGCCCUUUGAGCCUCCUUCAUCCAGUCAAGAUGCAGAGUCAAUUCAUUGCUGCAGAUUAGUCAAGUAAGAGCACUAGGUGACAUUUCCAAGUAUGAAAUUUGUUCAAGGAACACAGAGUCCCUAACGGGGCUGGGAAGAUUUGCUCCCUUCUGAAACUGUACCAUUUUUACUCCCAAGAGAAGCCACAUUAGGGUCAGUAAA